rnacentral:rRNA from 1 species
UACGUAGGGUGCGAGCGUUAAUCGGAAUUACUGGGCGUAAAGCGUGCGCAGGCGGUUUUGUAAGCCAGAUGUGAAAGCCCCGGGCUUAACCUGGGAAUGGCAUUUGGGACUGCAAGGCUUGAGUGCGGCAGAGGAGACUGGAAUUCCUGGUGUAGCAGUGAAAUGCGUAGAUAUCUGGAGGAAUACCGGUGGCGAAGGCGGCAUCCUGGACCGGCAUUGACGCUGAUGAGCGAAAGCUAGGGGAGCAAACGGG